rnacentral:tRNA from 2 species
GGGCCGUUAGCUCAAUUGGCAGAGCAACUGACUCUUAAUCAGUAGGUUGGGGGUUCGAUUCCCUCACGGCUCACCA